rnacentral:SRP_RNA from 1 species
GGGUCCCGUGCGAUGAGUCGCUGUGAACCUUGUCAGGGCCGGAAGGCAGCAGCAAUAAGCAGUUGAUUUAGGUGCUGCGGGGCUGCCCCG